CAGUCGCCGCGGUAAUACAGAGGGUGCGAGCGUUAAUCGGAUUUACUGGGCGUAAAGCGUGCGUAGGCGGAUUUUUAAGUCGGAUGUGAAAUCCCUGAGCUUAACUUAGGAAUUGCAUUCGAUACUGGGAAGCUAGAGUAUGGGAGAGGAUGGUAGAAUUCCAGGUGUAGCGGUGAAAUGCGUAGAGAUCUGGAGGAAUACCGAUGGCGAAGGCAGCCAUCUGGCCUAAUACUGACGCUGAGGUACGAAAGCAUGGGGAGCAAACAGGAUUAGAUACCCCGGUAGUCCCUGUCUCUUAUAC
rnacentral:rRNA from 1 species